AUGGCAAUUGUCCAUACAUACGGGAAGCCUGACAUCUUCCUCACAAUGACUUGCAAUCCUAAAUGGCAAGAGAUAACAGAUGAGUUGCUGCCUGGUCAGACGGCGCAAGACCGACCUGAUGUUGUGGCACGUGUGUUCUAUGGCAAACUAGAGCACAUGAAAUACAUGUUGUUCAAGAAGCAUAUCCUGGGUGUUGUUGUCGCUUACGUAUACGUAGUCGAGUUCCAAAAAAGGGGCCUC
rnacentral:rRNA from 1 species